GGUGCGCAUCGGGAAUAUGCGCAUUUCACGUGAUAUCGAUUUCACCUUCGACAAAGCGUACAAUGUCGAUAUCGAUCGCACAGUCUACAGAACGACGCAGCGCGGGACGGGGUGACUCAUUUCUGUUUCGGUUGAGUGCGCGACACUCGAAUUUCGCGACAAAGGGAAUUAAUCUCAUCGUUUUUCUGUGUAAGUGCGAAUUCUCGUUGUACGAAUAUAUAACGCAGCUUAUUGGCUUCAUCCACCGUACAAGAUUUCGCCCGAGAGCAAAAAGUGAGUAGACGAGACAAUCCAUGUUCACAGUUACGUGCAUCGACUCUGUGUGCUAUGGUGAAUGUGAUUUUGUGCCAGAGAGCCUGUCCAGCGAGGAUCUUUAAACAGCCGGGAGGAUAACAGGGAAUAAAGGCAAGAAGGCGUACAACUUCUUCGUGAGGAUCGGUGAAUCGCGAUACACAACCGAAAUAGCCGACGGUGUUUUAAAAGCCAUCCGCUACACGUGUAGAGACGUUUGGGUUAGGCUGUCCGCACCAUUCUUGCUGUAUCUUUUCAUCGUACGUGCCAAUAGAGUAUACCACCUCCGCUGGAUUUUACGGUUCGGGUUUUAUGGUUAUAUUUAUUACGUCGGGCUUCUACGGGGCUCGAGGAACGUUUUCCCUGGGAGCGAUUGCGACAUAUUUGGAGUAAUAUGCAAAUUACUUGGUUGAAGAUAUCCUGAAUUAUAGCCAAGAUCUCUCUGUUUGACGUCCUAUGUCCGCGACAGAAAACCGUGAAAGAAGGUAAAGAUCGGUUAGAGGAUGGCGAGAAAAGAAUGCAGCGAGCAUGAAAUGCCUGGAAGAAUUCGUUGAAAGGCACAAAUGGAAACCUCAACCUGAUACGGUGAAAGGUAACGACAUUCUGGCGAGAUGUACCUCGACAAUGUGCCCUCGAUACAAUCUAUAACGUGUAUACGUUCGAUAACAGCGAUAAAAGUCGAGCACCGGCUCAAGAAAACGGUAUAUGGCAAGUAUUCUAACCUCGAAUUGUUGGGUGUACCGAAACGUAUCAAGGCGAUAAAAAAAACAUGAUUAUCAUUUUCAUAUAGGGUU